CGGGGUGUAGCUUAGCUUGGUAGAGCGCCUGGUUUGGGACCAGGAGGUCGCAGGUUCAAAUCCUGUCACCCCGA
rnacentral:tRNA from 2 species